UUUUUUUUUUUUUCUAAGAUAGAGUUUGCUCUUGUUGCGCAGGCUGGAGUGCAACGGCACAAUCUCGGCUCACUGCAACUUCCGCCUCCCAGGUUUAAGCGGUUCUCCUGCCUCAGCCUCCCGAGUAGCUGGGAUUACAGGCGCCUGCCACCAUGCCGGGCUAAUUUUGUAUUUUUAGUAGAGACAGGGUUUCUCCAUGUUGGUCAGAUUGGUCUUGAACUUCCAACCUCAGGUGAUCUACCCGCCUCAGCCUCCCAAAGUUCUGGGAUUACAAGCGUGAGCCACCGCACCUGGCCAUAGUUGUCUUUCUUAAUGUGGAUUUAAUCUGCAUUGUCCCUAAGAACUCAGAAUUACUGUUGAUGCUUCAAAGGUGUGUGUGUGUGUGUGUGUGUGUGUUCAGUUGAUUCAGAAAUUCCUCCCAGGAAAAUAGAAGACCCCAGGAGGAGUGAGGCAACACCUCUUUAUCUGCUACUGGCAGAGAGAUCUUCAUGAAAAUACACAUGAACCUCCAGAACUCGAUGUGCUCCACCAGCCAGCCUUCACCUAUCAAAGCCAACCCUGCAACUUACUGCUGAAGCCCCCAUGGAAUAGCUCAGCUAGCAGGAACUGUAGAGUAGGGGAUUCUUACUUCAGUGCAUCUUGAUGUUCUGAGUGAGGGAACAGCACAGACCCUCUGGGAGACCAUCUCCUGUGUGUUAGUGAGGUCUUACAUUGUAAAGGUUUUGAAGAAAGGAGACUGUGUCUGUGAGUCCUCAAUAAAGCAGACACCUGGUUGGAGUUAGGAGUCCAAAGGGCUUAUCUGAAGUGGCACCUUGCCAGCCCUCGUGUCCCUGCAGCCUCUGGCACAACCGUGCCACCUCUGUGCAGCCCCAUCGAUCAGUCCCCGCCGGGCU
rnacentral:antisense_RNA from 1 species